UAAGUGCUUUGUGUUUCCUUCAGUCAGUUGCAGGGUUCUCUAGGCAGGCUGGAGUCUAUGGAUUUCUAGAAUUUUUAAGUGCUUGGAAUUCACUUAAUAGAGGGAUGUUUAAUAGAGGUUUCUGGCUCACUGUUUUUUUGGGAUGGUGGGAUACUCUUCUGUUUUUGAGCUAUAUUUUAAUCUCUAGAUGUAUAAACCCACUUGUGUAACUCUCCAGAGGGCUAAAACCAGCUUGAUUGCAUGGUACCUGUGGCUUGACAGCGUAGAUGCAGCAUUGCCAAGAGACUGAGCAGAGUUGUAUCAGAGUCACCUUUUUUAUCUGCAAAGGGUGCUUUGUGCAGUUGUGGACAGUGAAGGGAAAUCCUCAUGUCAUGAAGCACUGAGGGAAGGUGGUGUGGAUGAUACUGGCUGCACUGUUGGAGCUUGGAUUCGGAAAGGAAGAGGUGAGCAGAACCGUAUAUUGCAUCAGCAGUAGUCAGCAUUGUGGAGCAGGUGGCCAUCAUGGCUGGCGUGCUAGUGAAUGCUGGU